AUCCCAAUGAGGAUCUCAAGACCGACCGAUAGGAAGUGCCGUUUGACACUGUAAGCAACAGCUGCUUCCUCCGGCUGCAGGUGUCUAUCCUCCGACCAUAACCUUUGUGGUUUGGUCUGGGAUGGAGCACCCAUCUGUGGUUCUUGGAUUCUGGCUGUGGUGUGUGAUUUAAAUCGGGUCUCUGAGGGAU
rnacentral:snoRNA from 1 species